UAUGGAGGUUCCCAGGCUAGGGGUUGAAUCGGAGCUGUAGCCACCGGCCUACGCCAGAGCCACAGCAACGCGGGAUCCGAGCCGCGUCUGCAACCUACACCACAGCUCAUGGCAACGCCGGAUAGCCAACCCACUGAGCAAGGGCAGGGACCGAACCCGCAACCUCAUGCUUCCUAGUCGGAUUCGUUAACCACUGCGCCACGACGGGAACUCCUGUUUUCUACUUUUAUGAAUUUUUUCACAUUUUCUAGUAUAUUACCAAUUUUAGUUUUGAAGAACAAGAAGUAAAUUUCUGUUUUAGGCCCAUAAAAUUGAACUUAAUAAGUUAGCAUCUUUCCAUCAUAUUUUAUACACCUCUCUGCUGUUCAAAUGUCCGUAUGUGUCCCAGUGCCAAAUUUCUGGGCUCCAACCAGGCCACCACAUUAGAUAAGCUGACAUAAAAAUAUCACUACUAAAUCUAUGAUUUGAAUCAGAAAAACAGAGGCUUGGAAACUUUUCUAGAAUCCUCUUGAGUCUAGCAGGAAGCUGGGUGGGAUUAGAACUUGCUGGUUUCCACUCAACAUUCCAACUCUGUCUCCAGAGGGGGUGGGGAGGGAUAAGAUUUUGACACCACUGUUCCAGACCCAAGUUGUUACUGCACUGGCUUUUGGCUGGAACUCCUCACACAUAUGCUUUGCCUUUCUGCAAUCAAGCAGAGGGAUCCUUGCCUGCACCAAUCUGGAUGUCAGCAGGUGGCCUGCUGGCCUCUAAGCUUUCUGCAUGAAUUACUAUGUGUGGUUUCUGCACGUUGAAACUUGGCAUCCACACGCCUGCACACCUCCCUGCCCCCCCCCCCCCGCAACAUGCACUGUAUUCUAUUAGAAGCCGGUUCCAUUUGGCUGCGAUAUUGGGCCAAAGCCAGACUUUCUUCAAAGAAUUACCUACUUUCCAUCUGCUAAGAUACGUAUUUCUUUUCCCCUUUCCAGAUGAAGCAUUCUCUCUGGUCCCUUUCCAACUCCUUGGUUCUCUUUCUCCAGUCCUGCCUCCACAGAGCCACUGAAGGGGCUGAUCUUGUCACUCCAUGGCCUUGGAAUCUUCAGUGGCCUCCCAUCUCAUUCAGGAUAAUUAUAAAUAAAUAAACAUAUAUAUAUAUAUGCAUUUUUUUUCCUUGGGUGCCAGCAGGGUUCUUCAUGAUAUGCCCUUACCUACUUAGCCCUCAAUGUCACCACAGAUUUCCCAUUUUUCUCUCUAGCUCUAACCACUAUAUUUGGACUUGACCUGCUUUCCUGCUUGCCUCUGUUUUCCCACAAGCUGUUCCCGCCUCCUCGCUUAGUGUACUCCCAUGAUGAAUGCCUCCUCAUCCUUUGAAACCCAGUUGGAGUAUCGUCUCUACCAAGAAGCCUUUCCAGCCUCUCCCUCCCUCUCAUUUUUCUUGUCCCCCCAUUCAGUCCAAGUCUCACAUGUGACCCCAACAAACAUGCAAGCAAGGACUGGGUUUUUGCAUGAUUUCAUCCCAGUGCCUAGCCUUUCCUAGUUCUGGCAAAUAACAAGCACUCAAAAAUAUAUCCCAUAAAAAUUCCCCUCUUGGGCAUAAUCCUAACAUAUGCAAGGCACGUACAAGAAUGUUCAAAGCAGCAUUUCCUGGAUUAGUCCCAAACUGUAAAUAACCCAAGAGUCUCUUAAUCAUGCAAUGGGUAAGUAAAUCGUGGCAUUUUAAAUAAAUAAAUCCUAUUCAACAAUGAGAUUCAGUGAACAAACCUUGUGAAUGGAUUUCACAAAUGUCAUGUUGAGUGAAAGAAGCCAGAAGCAAGAGUAGAUGUAUAAUUCCAUUUACAAAAGCUCAAAAAGCAGGCAUGAGUUAUCUCUGGUGUUAGAAAUCAUGAGAAGAGUUACCAUCAAAUAUGCAGGGUAACUGAUAGAGUAGGUGUCUAGGACCCCAGCAGUGUUCUAUUUCUUGAUCUGGGUGCUGCCUGGGGAAUUAUUUCAUCCAGCUGUAUAUUUGUGAUUUGUGCAUGAAUCUGUCUCAUACUUUAAUAAAAAAAUUUAAUUUAGGAGAUUUUCCUUUAUGAAAUAUGUUUCUCUGUGGUGUUGAGGACAGUGACAGAAAUGGGGAGUGUAGGUUUGACUCAAAUGAAUUGCCAGCUUGAUUGAUGCUCUUUCUCCUGCUCAGAACAGUGUUUCAUGUCAGCAAGGAAAAUCUAAAAAAUUAAAAAUAAAAAACCAAAAACCUUUCCCAUACCAUGUUUAGCAUUUGCUUUAAGAAAUGUGAUACUCAGUGGUGUCGGCAGGUGUUAAUUCAGAUAGUUUGGAUUCUCAACUUGAAUUUUGGCAGGCUCAGAUAAUUUUGGAAUGAGUCAGGGUAUAAAUGACUAUAAUUGGAAUUUCACUCUUUGCUUACUAUCUUCAUCCUUUUGCUUUUAAGGCUUCUGUCACCAAUAGGCAUAAGCUUAUUGCCCUACACACAUCGCUCAAACCUUCCGUUUAUUGAUUCACAAUUCACUGUUGCAGUUUAAAAUCAGUUUCUUUCUUGGUAUAGGACUGUGCUUAAUUAAUGUCUUUGAGCUGACAGGAUUUUUUUUUUUUCCUCCUUCAAAAUUGUAAGGGCUCUAAGAAGUACCAGACUAUGGAACAUCUGUAAAAAUACAUUUUCUUCUCUUUAAACAGAUCUGUGUGAGGAAGGUGCCUGGGAACCCUGGUCUCUGAAAUCCUUGCAGCCAUUUUGGCUGCUGCCCUCUGCAGCCUCCAUGCUGGAGCCCAUCCAGCCAUCGCUGCGGGAACUCACCGCAUUUCUCUCUCAUGUUCUGUAAUCUGGGCCUUUCAGUGUCUGCACAGAUGGGAAUUCUGCUGCCAUCUUCUCAUUUCACAUUUCCUGCACUUUUCUUCCUAAGCACUCUACUGCCCAAAAUAGACUCACAGCUUUUGAUUCCAUGUGUAGGGAUUUACUAGACGAAUGAAUGGGGAUUCUGUAGCUCCCUAUAAUCAUCAUACCGUGAGGUAAUUUUUCCUGUUAGGCAUCGGGAAGAGAAAGGAUUCAGAAUGGUGCUAGGAGUGUCUCUCAGAGGACAGCAUGGAUUUUCUUUCAGGGGAAUAGUUGGGCCAGAGCCCAAUGCAAGGCAGGGCAUUAGUGCUAGCCUGUGGGGAAGGAGGACACAAGAGGACAGGGGACCAUGCAAGACUUGUCACCAAUUAGCUCCCUUCACAAGUCCUCUGCUCUCCUGAAGUCUCUUCCUGAUAGGAUAUACCCCUCCUCCUCUCUGCCUUUUUUUGUAUGUGUUGGGGGGAGGAGUCCCAAAAGUAUUAAUUUCCCUUGCUUCUCUCUACCUAGUUGAAUUGUCUCCAUUCAUUAAGGGCUUGUUUAAAUCCCACCUCCUGGGAGUUCCCAUUAUGGCUCAGCAGUAACAAACCCAACUAGUAACCAUGAGGAUGCGGGUUCCAUCCCUGUCCCCACUCAUUGAUUUACAGAUCCAGUGUUGCCUUGAACUGUGUUGUAGGUUGUAGUCAUGGCUCAGAUCCCAUGUUGCUGUUGCUGUUGCAUAGGCCAGCAGAUGCAGCUCUGAUUUGACCCCUAGCCUGGGAAAUUCCAUAUGCCACAGGAGUGCCCCUAAAAAGCAAAAUAAAUAAGUAAAUAAAUCAAUCCCACCUCCUCCAGGAAGCCUUCCCAGAUGACUUCAGCUAGACGUGAUUUCCUCCUUGUCUAAAUUUUUAGAGCUCCUAUGGCUAUACAUUCUUGGAUGUCCACAUAAGAGAUAAUUUUCAGCAAUAAUAAUAACUGAGUACUUCCAUGGCAGGCACUAUUCUUAGCACUUUACUCAUAUAAAGUCAGAAUCAAGAUAAUGACUCCAUAAGAUAGGCUGCAGUACUGUUCCCAUUGUACACAUGAGGAUUCUAAGGCCCAUAGUGAUGUCACAACUCCCUUAUCAGAUUAGAAACUCCAUUUACCACCUCUUUGACUUACUGACUUGUCUUUCUCACAUCACAACUUUCACGGACUCACAGUUGCCAAUUAUUCAUACUUGUCCAUUUAGUUUUGUGCUUAAAGAGCCCGAGACCAUGAAAAUAGGAUUUCAAUAUCAUUUCUGUCAGUCAUAUAUGCUGCCUUUCCAUUUCUGUUAACAUGGGGGCUGUGCAGUGGAGUAGGUGGGAUUAAAACCGUGAUAAAAUAAAAUUAAAGAACAAGACCUUAUUUCAUAUGUACUGUAUGCCAGGCACUCUGGUAAGUGAUAUAUAUGUUCACUACCUUAAUCUCAGCUUCCCCCUGCCCCAAAUAUCAGAGAGAGGUUACAGAAUGCUUGCAACAUGAUCAAAUAAAUAGAUGAAGGUGUUUUAGCAAAAAGAAUACAAAUGUAGGAAGUCACACAAAAUCCUGGGUUCAGCUAUUACCUACAAAUGCAUGCCCUGAGGACCCUCCUCGGGAAGUGAGCCACAGAUCUGGCUCUGGCUUCCUGGUGUUUAUGACAAAAAAGGGACAAUGACAACAUUCACAUUGCCUUUAAGAUAAAGACAAUCCAGCUAUUCAGAUGAAGCGCACAUAAAAGUCGCAUCAAAUAACUUCCUGCUAUAAUUCUCAGUGCAGGCCAGUCUUAUUUUGCUGAAGGGCAGAAUGGCAAAAUCCAUUUGAAAGAGAGAUAGAACUAGGGGGUCUACCUUUGCAGUUAUUUAGUUUAAGACAGGGAUAGACUGUACACAUAUCAGGAAAUUCUCUCUCCCUUGGGCUCCAUACUAGCUCCUCCAGACAAUUACAAAGCUCCUCCAGGUUUCCACCUUCAACUGAAAGCUGAAUAGAGGUUUUGGUUUAACACUUAUUAACACUUUAUAAAACUAGCAUGCCCAGGAACAGCUUUUGGAAAAUCCAGUCUGACAGGCAACAUGGAGCUGUUAAAAAUUGAGGUUUUCAGUGGGGGAAAUGGAAUUCAAACUCCUUUGUCUGAUUUAUGAUGCUUUUCACAAGCCAACCUCAACCAGCUGUUGCAGACCUAAUUUACUGUCAACCCCCCCCACCUUCAGCAUCUUCAUGUUUUGUCCAAACUAAACUAGAUAGAUUUCCAUGAGUAUACACUGUGCUCUCACUCAUUGAGGCCUCACAGAUGCUUCCUAGAACACCCUCUUCUCUCUCCCGUCUCCCUUGGCUUCUCUGCCUACUGGAUCUUGAAGGAUGUCAUCUUUGCUGUGACUACACUCCUUAUUCCACCUAAUAAUUAAUCUUACUCUUUACCAGGCUCUCACAGCACUUUACUUCUAUCACAUUUUAUUAUACCCUUUUGCUAGCUUCUUUGAUUUUUCUGUCAAACUAUUAACUUCUCCAGGGUUGGAAUGUGCCUUAUUUACUUUUGUAUCUCAGCAUUGGGGACAUAGUCUGACCUGGAUUUAUUUCACCAAAUAUUUAUUGAGUGUUUCCUGUACUGACAGAACAAAGCUGGGACAAUUCCCAUCUUGUGGGCAAUGC
rnacentral:lncRNA from 1 species